rnacentral:rRNA from 1 species
AUUGAACGCUGGCGGCAUGCUUUACACAUGCAAGUCGAACGGCAGCGCGGGCUUCGGCCUGGCGGCGAGUGGCGAACGGGUGAGUAAUACAGCGGAACGUGCCCAGUAGUGGGGGAUAGCUCGGCGAAAGCCGGAUUAAUACCGCAUACGACCUGAGGGUGAAAGCGGGGGAUCUUCGGACCUCGCGCUAUUGGAGCAGCCGAUGGCAGAUUAGCUAGUUGGUGGGGUAAAGGCCUACCAAGGCGACGAUCUGUAGCUGGUCUGAGAGGAUGACCAGCCACACUGGGACUGAGACACGGCCCAGACUCCUACGGGAGGCAGCAGUGGGGAAUUUUGGACAAUGGGCGAAAGCCUGAUCCAGCAAUGCCGCGUGUGUGAUGAAGGCCUUCGGGUUGUAAAGCACUUUUGGCGGGAACGAAAAGGACUGUGCCAAUACCACGGUUCGAUGACGGUACCCGCAGAAUAGGCACCGGCUAACUACGUG